rnacentral:lncRNA from 1 species
GGAGCAUGUGGCCACUCGCUCUCAUUGCUUGCCCACUUCUAGAGAAAGAGCUGCUGGCCAGGGCUGCUACAGGAAGGCCAAAAAGCUUUAUUUCCUUCUUUCACAGGCCUGCUUCUCCCAUGAAGGUCAGCAGCUGAUGCUCCCCAUCCCUGGAAAAGGACAGUCAAUGAGCUAUUCAGGAGCCCAAGAGGAUUUUCCAGUAAAUCACUGCUUUGCCCUCCUGACACUUUGGGACAAACAACCUUCUGCUGCAAGAGAGGCAGAGGAACAGCACUGAGCUGGGAAAGGUAAAGGAGAUCAGACACAGUGGACUGGAAAGUCUCCUCUCAAUAAAGACCACAGAAGACAGGACUACA